ACUGCCAGCAGAUGGCACUGCAGCGCGGCUUCUGACGGGACACGUGACUCUUGUUUUGGUUUGUUCGCUUCCUGUUUAGACAUUGGCUUAUGUGCGAGGGUAUAGCUUAAUUUGAGCCAGGUGUCCAUGUUUAGCUUGAUUAUGUUGAUUAUUUAAACCCCUCGGUGACUGCACACUUUGCGCAGUCUUAUACUUUGUACCAAAUGUCUGACGAUAGUGAACGCAUUAGCAUGCUAAGCGGUCUUAGUGUCAUGUUUGAAGCCAGAUUUGGCUAGACCGUGUUUCCUUGUGUUUGGUUGCUUGCUUGGUUUAUCAAUAAAGACUUUGCUCUACACCUGCAUCCGCUUCCAGUCCCGUUCCGUGACAUAAUACUGCGCCCCGAGCAUGGAAGCAGCAGAUCAACGUGAGCACCGAGUUCGAGAAGUUGGGCCGAUCGUUCUGGGAAGAGAGUAAGCGUAUCGACAAAAGACUUGCCCAGAUCGAUCGCCAGCUAAUGCAACGAGGGCUGCUGCAGCAAGCCGGCCCAUGCGCCAUAUCGCCACCCGCGCAAUUUCCCACGUCCCGGCUGCCGGAGAGUUAUGCCGUGCCGCGUGGGUAACAGAGCUACUCGAACUCCUGGAGCUUCCCACUUUAGGGGAAUUAUACUACGCCAUGCAGCCAGUAAAGAUACCCGUCCUCCUGGAGCCUCCCACUGCAGGGGAAUUGCACCACGCUGCCCAGCCCAGAACCGAAGGCUAGCCUAGAACUUAUUUUGGGUGGGGGUCAAUGACGACAGCAGAGCUCCAGCGUGAGGCCUAUGGGGAGGCCUCAGCUGUGGAGCUCCCGCCUGAGGUCAACAUGGCAACCUCAGAGCUACAGCUUGAGGCCUACGGGGAGGUCUCUGCUGUGUAGCUCCUGCACGUCAAAGAAGCUGUCCCGCCGCCCUGCCCUAAGGUUACUCAAAUAGUCACUAUUUACAAACGUGGUGGGGAGAAAAGCAUCUCAGAACACACAUCACGUCGAAACUUGAGAUCGUGCUCGUUCAUUCAGAUUCCUGUCAUUUAGAGAGUCUUGUGCUGGCCGUGUGCGGAUCUUGCGAUCGCAAAACUCUUGGCCUCUAGACAGAGGUAACUGAACUAAUAUAUAUAU
ensembl:lncRNA